GGCAGCAUCGAGUCCGCUUCGUUUUGGUCCCUAACAGCUUUGGGCGCUGUUUAUAUUUCCUUGUUCCUUUUCCCCAAGUUUGAGGACGACCGACUCUUGCUAGGUUUUGACAGUGGCGGAUUCCUAGCCUUCUGCUCCCGCUAGCCCGAGCUGACGUCCCGCAGGCCCACGCGGGGCCCAGGGGCGACAGGGCCCGCUCCCGCGCUGCCCACAUUUCCUCCAUUGUUUGAAAAGUGCCCUUUUUUUUUACAGUUGGCUCAUUGACUGGGGGUCCCCGCGCCGUGCAGUGCGCCCGUGGCUGUCCGUCUCUGGGGUCCUGCUCAGCAGCGGUCCCUGCUCCCCUCUGACCGGGUCUCUGUGGCUGUCCCUCUCUGGGGUCCUGUUAGUCAGGUCCAGAGAGAGGAGGGCGGCCUGCCUCAGGCAGGUGUGAUCACCAGAGGGUAGGAAGCAGUUGAGGGAGUGAGCGACCCGUGGGCCGAAGCCUUUACUGGGGCCCAGGCAUUGUCCAGGGUGGUUUCCUGUGGGGAGUUCUGAUUAGUGGGCAUAGUGCCAGCAGGCACCAGACCCGUGGAAUCUUGCUGGGACUGAGAAGUGGUCACAGUGGCACGUGUGCAGCCCACAUGAGGAUGGGGGUCAGUGGGUAGAACCUCCACAGAUACCUGCUGGCACUGUCUGUGGCUCCGCCUCAAGGUUUCAUCCAGAGAUGAAGAAAAACAAUGACAACAACUGUGUCUCUGUGGAGGAUUUAGCAGCUACUACAAAAUACAGAGGCUUCUUUCCUAAGCGAACACACGGCUCCGCUUUGUGAGGCCAACAGCACGGGCAUCUCUCGGGCAGCCGCGUCCUCCAUGCUCUGCGCAGUGAGAUGUCACCGUUCAGUGUUUAAAA